UGCAAGUCGAACGAACUCUGGUAUUGAUUGGUGCUUGCAUCAUGAUUUACAUUUGAGUGAGUGGCGAACUGGUGAGUAACACGUGGGAAACCUGCCCAGAAGCGGGGGAUAACACCUGGAAACAGAUGCUAAUACCGCAUAACAGCUUGGACCGCAUGGUCCGAGUUUGAAAGAUGGCUUCGGCUAUCACUUUUGGAUGGUCCCGCGGCGUAUUAGCUAGAUGGUGGGGUAACGGCUCACCAUGGCAAUGAUACGUAGCCGACCUGAGAGGGUAAUCGGCCACAUUGGGACUGAGACACGGCCCAAACUCCUACGGGAGGCAGCAGUAGGGAAUCUUCCACAAUGGACGAAAGUCUGAUGGAGCAACGCCGCGUGAGUGAAGAAGGGUUUCGGCUCGUAAAACUCUGUUGUUAAAGAAGAACAUAUCUGAGAGUAACUGUUCAGGUAUUGACGGUAUUUAACCAGAAAGCCACGGCUAACUACGUGCCAGCAGCCGCGGUAAUACGUAGGUGGCAAGCGUUGUCCGGAUUUAUUGGGCGUAAAGCGAGCGCAGGCGGUUUUUUAAGUCUGAUGUGAAAGCCUUCGGCUCAACCGAAGAAGUGCAUCGGAAACUGGGAAACUUGAGUGCAGAAGAGGACAGUGGAACUCCAUGUGUAGCGGUGAAAUGCGUAGAUAUAUGGAAGAACACCAGUGGCGAAGGCGGCUGUCUGGUCUGUAACUGACGCUGAGGCUCGAAAGUAUGGGUAGCAAACAGGAUUAGAUACCCUGGUAGUCCAUACCGUAAACGAUGAAUGCUAAGUGUUGGAGGGUUUCCGCCCUUCAGUGCUGCAGCUAACGCAUUAAGCAUUCCGCCUGGGGAGUACGGCCGCAAGGCUGAAACUCAAAGGAAUUGACGGGGGCCCGCACAAGCGGUGGAGCAUGUGGUUUAAUUCGAAGCUACGCGAAGAACCUUACCAGGUCUUGACAUACUAUGCAAAUCUAAGAGAUUAGACGUUCCCUUCGGGGACAUGGAUACAGGUGGUGCAUGGUUGUCGUCAGCUCGUGUCGUGAGAUGUUGGGUUAAGUCCCGCAACGAGCGCAACCCUUAUUAUCAGUUGCCAGCAUUAAGUUGGGCACUCUGGUGAGACUGCCGGUGACAAACCGGAGGAAGGUGGGGAUGACGUCAAAUCAUCAUGCCCCUUAUGACCUGGGCUACACACGUGCUACAAUGGAUGGUACAACGAGUUGCGAACUCGCGAGAGUAAGCUAAUCUCUUAAAGCCAUUCUCAGUUCGGAUUGUAGGCUGCAACUCGCCUACAUGAAGUCGGAAUCGCUAGUAAUCGCGGAUCAGCAUGCCGCGGUGAAUACGUUCCCGGGCCUUGUACACACCGCCCGUCACACCAUGAGAGUUUGUAACACCCAAAGUCGGUGGGGUAACCUUUUAGGAACCAGCCGCCUAAGGG
rnacentral:rRNA from 1 species